rnacentral:rRNA from 1 species
CCUGGCGACAAUGGCGGAGGGGCCACACCCGUUCCCAUCCCGAACACGGCAGUUAAGCCCUCCAGCGCCGAUGGUACUGC